rnacentral:rRNA from 1 species
GUAGGUGGCAAGCGUUGUCCGGAAUUAUUGGGCGUAAAGCGCGCGCAGGCGGUCCUUUAAGUCUGAUGUGAAAGCCCACGGCUCAACCGUGGAGGGUCAUUGGAAACUGGAGAACUUGAGUACAGAAGAGGAAAGCGGAAUUCCACGUGUAGCGGUGAAAUGCGUAGAGAUGUGGAGGAACACCAGUGGCGAAGGCGGCUUUCUGGUCUGUAACUGACGCUGAGGCGCGAAAGCGUGGGGAGCAAACAGGAUUAGAUACCCUGGUAGUCCACGCCGUAAACGAUGAGUGCUAAGUGUUAGGGGGUUUCCGCCCCCCUUAGUGCUGCAGCUAACGCAUUAAGCACUCCGCCUGGGAUACGGCCGCAAGGCUG